rnacentral:rRNA from 1 species
CGUGUAGGCGGUUGGUCAAGUCGGGUGUGAAAGCCUGGGGCUCAGCCCCAGAAGUGCAUCCGAAACUAGCCAGCUGGAGCGCGAUAGAGGAGGGUGGAAUUCCUGGUGUAGCGGUGAAAUGCGUAGAUAUCAGGAGGAACACCGGCGGCGAAGGCGGCCCUCUGGAUCGUUGCUGACGCUGAGACGCGAAAGCGUGGGGAGCAAACAGGAUUAGAUACCUGGUAGUCCACGCCUUAAACGAUGGGUACUAGGUGUUCGGGGUGUUGACCCCCUGAGUGCCGCAGUUAACGCAUUAAGUACCCGCCUGGGACUACGGCCGCAAGGUUAAA